GACGAACGCUGGCGGCGUGCUUAACACAUGCAAGUCGAACGGAAAGGCCCUGCAUACGUGGGGUGCUCGAGACGCGAACGGGUGAGUAACAAGGGAGUAGCCUGCCCUGGGCAUUGGGAUAAAUUCAGGAAAAUGGGGCUAAUACCGGAUAAGUGCUCCUGCUGCAAGGCGGGGGUUGAAAAGUUUCGGUGGUUGGGGAUGGACUCGCGUCUUAUCAGCUUGCUGGUGGGGUGGUGGCUUACCACGGCAUUGCCGGGUAGCCGGCCUGAGAGGGUGAGCGGCCACAUUGGGACUGAGAUACGGCCCCGACUCCUACGGGAGGCAGCAGUGGGGAAUAUUGCACAAUGGGCGGAAGCCUGAUGCAGCAACGCCGCGUGCGGGAUGACUGCCUUCGGGUUGUAUACCGCUUUCGCCUGUGACGAAGCGUGAGUGACGGUAAUGGGUAAAGAAGCACCGGCUAACUACGUG
rnacentral:rRNA from 1 species